UACGUAGGGUGCAAGCGUUGUCCGGAAUUAUUGGGCGUAAAGAGCUCGUAGGCGGUUUGUCGCGUCUGCUGUGAAAACCUGAGGCUCAACCUCGGGCCUGCAGUGGGUACGGGCAGACUAGAGUGCGGUAGGGGAGAUUGGAAUUCCUGGUGUAGCGGUGGAAUGCGCAGAUAUCAGGAGGAACACCAAUGGCGAAGGCAGAUCUCUGGGCCGUAACUGACGCUGAGGAGCGAAAGCAUGGGGAGCGAACAGG
rnacentral:rRNA from 1 species